CUGCGGUAGCUCAGUGGUAGAGCACUCCCUUGGUAAGGGAGAGGUCGAGAGUUCAAUCCUCUCUCGCAGCACCA
rnacentral:tRNA from 1 species